rnacentral:lncRNA from 1 species
UUGAAUGACUGAUAUACCAUGUAUUUUACCCACUUUUAGCCAUGGUAUAUAGGUAUUUUCAAAUACAUUAUAGUUGUUUUGGAGUCUUUCUAGUAUGAUUUCAGGUUUUGGAGUGAUUUGGAGGAAAAUAGUGAUUUUGAUGCAUUUUGGAGAUAAAAUGAUAAAGACCCGAAGUUGACCAUCGACCACGACUAUCGAUCGAUGGGCGAACGCAACAAUCGAUCGACACACACUAUGUGGUAUCGAUCGAAGGCGAAGCGUGCAGAAACAGGAUUGAGUUCCAGCAGCCUACUUAAAGCCCAAGUCCCACAAAAAUUACCAGAUUACCCCUGGCGAGUUUUAACCUAAUAUUUAUGUGCUCUGCCAUUGUUCUAGGCAACACACGCUUUCAUACUUUCUACUUUUCAUACAGCAAAAUACUUAGAGUCUUAGAUUUGGAGAGAAGAUCCAAGAACUCCUUCAGAACUUUGUGAUUGGAACUCCAGUUCCUCUACUCUAUCUUAUUUAUGCAGUUUACUUAUGUUAUUGUCAUGAAUUGCUUAGCCAUGUCUAAGUAGUUUAUCUUGUUAGAUUUAGGGUUCAAAUAUUCAUGAGGAAUUAGCCCAAA